AUCUCACAAUAAAGGGGACAUCCAAUAAAAUUGAAACGAUACAAAGAAGAUUAGCAUGACCCCUACGGAAGGAUGACACGCACAAAUCAAAAAAUGGUAUCAGAGCCA